UCUCCCAACUGACAGUGUUGUCAACAAACACUUCGGCGUGUACACGGCGCCAUGAAACUAAGCCCCACACCACUGGAGAGUCCAAGCGCUUUUGCUCCUCUGCGUCCAACGGCAGAAUGACAAUCCUUUCUCGACUUCGUGACGAUGUCUUUUCUCUCCUUCGCUGCGAUGGCGUCUUCUCCUUGACUGGGAGAAGAAGCAAGACAGCGUCACUUUCGAUUAAAUCCUCGGAAUGUGAAUGGCGUCAACACUGGAUCUCUUCCGCAACUGUGGACUCUAGGUUUAAUGCCUUCUAUCCAGCAAUUGGACUGGGAAUGAAGACAGGCAAUGCAUCCAGGUUCUGUGAUUUUCUCUCCGCUACUUCUAGAGUAGUCUAAUUUAAGCCAUCUGAUCCAAGUCGUUGACAUUGUUUUGCUACUCAAUUUGAUCCGACACACAAGUACAUAGCUCGCCGAAGUUGUGCACUCUUUCUUUCUUUCUUGCUUCGUUUCGGUAACACGAUGCAGCUCAUGCCAUUCCAAAUGGACAUGGCAACAAGUAAGUCUUCUUUGACGAUGGUAACGUUUGAUAGAGAACUUCGCUUUCGUAGAACGGGCAAUGAGCAAGAUGUGAAGUAGUGAGUUGGCACAGGCAUCUCGUCUAAUGGGAAGAAGGCACACAGUGCGAAGUCUAACAGACGAUCCCAUCCAUGCUUGUCUGCUCUUCAGAGAGGACCCUUCCAUAACGCUCCAAAUUUCACGUCGUCUUCAAUUCAGCUGCUUCGCGGAGUUCGUUUGCCAGGAUUCAGGUGGAGCUACAGGGACGGUAAAGCUUGUGAUGAUACUAUGACAGAGGACUUUGCUGGAGUGAGGCCCACAUUUGAUGCUGCUCAAUCUCGUGAUUCUCGCAAAGUGAGCUUUCAAAUCGUAUCAUUUUCAAAGUGAACUUGCAAUGGUACUGGAAUCAAAAAUCAUUUACUGUUGGAUUAUCCCAGGUCUUGUCGGGAACAGAUUCCCUUAUAUAAUCUUUGCUGUGGUAAGUGUAACUGGUAAUUCUUCAAGGCAACUCGUGCGCGUCAUGAAUAAUUCGACUUCUUCUCAUUAUUUUGGAUAACUCCUGAUGUUUUCAUCAUUCAAUUCCAGUUUACAGUCAUACCCUCCUUUGCAUGUUUUGUGCAGCAUUUUGCCUUGGAAAUUUCACAAGUGGUUUGCAUGGAUCAGGUCCUGUAACAAGUUCUGUUUAUCUGUGGAAGGGAAUUUUAUCACAUUCAUGUGGCUGUGUUAAAAUGUCAUGUGACACACAAGGAUAGUUUAAAUUGUAUGCGAUUAUUUUAUUUAUUAAUACUUUAUAAUCACUAGCUUGAAGCUAUCAAUCGCCUGACACUCCUGUUUUUAAAUGUUAGAUUUUGUGGCGGGUGAUAUAUCUGUUGUUACUUUGAUGGUUUUGUUGGAGCCCGACUUCGAUGUUCAUUCAUAAUGCAUCAUUUGAGCAAAUAAAAUGAUGUUUCAUAUUCUGUAACAACUGUCUUAUUGAAGAACUAUAUUAGAUCCCAUUGCGUGUAUGGUCUUGUGUUUUGAAAGCUAUUUGAAUGUUCAUUUCAUGCAAUGUGUUCCAGAGAGAGUAACAGCUUCUGGGUCCAUUGAAGACCUCAUUGCUCGUCGACAUCACAGCCACUGAAGCCACAACCUUGAUUGAUGUUUGAAUAUCAGUAUACUUAUAAUUAUCGGGUACCGGAUUGAUGGAGCUGUUUGCAAGCUGCAGUAGUCCUUGGAUCCGAUAAUCUGCCGUUGGAGUCUACCCUUUUCAACUACUGAUGAGGACAUUCAACGUCCUAAAUAUGAGGUUUCUGCACCAACAGACGAUGUAUUCCUAAACCACUUCCUCAAGAACCAGCUGAAAGAAUUCAUGCGAGGGAUGGAGGCAGCAAUCGCAAGUUUUCGGGAGCGUGUACAAGGUCCCGAAUUUUUGAUUUAAUCUCGAGCUGCCCAGAUUACUUUGUUUGCGUCUCCAAGAACUCAUAUCUUUUAUACGCUGUGACGAGGCAGAUGUCACAUAGCUAUUUGCCUCUCUGUACUUUCUGAUCAUUCUUAGGUUAAUAACUGCAGGAGGAAUAUAUUGAGGAAAAUGUAUGUGAAAUGGCCAAAAGUUCGCAUUGCUGAUAGAGCUUAUACCCACUAGUUCAGCGCUCAACCUACCUGACAUGUCUCCAAGCUUUAUUGGAGGGUACACACAAUCAAAGGCUGCACUAUCUGGAAUUGUAUCUUUGCAAUUUUUGUGAGCGUUGCAGGAACAAGAUGAAUCAGAAAGCAUUUGUUUGCUUUGGAGUGGUCGAUAUCAGCUCGAUGAAGGUAUUACCUCUUUGCGUUAAGCAGUCCUGAAAGCCGCCCUUCAAAAUCCCAUUCCCGCUGUUGCGAACACGACACAACGGCCUACAAGAACAGAACAUCAUUUUACUCUCAUGAGUUCCUCCCAUAUACAUGCAGAAAGUAACAGGGAAGUGGUCUUUGUGGUCCUGGAUACUAACCAACCAACUUAUAUUGUUAAUAGUGAUGUCCAUUCAUUAAUUCCCAGGGUAAAUUUAGGCAAAGAGAUGGAGGAGAAGAACAUAUUUCCAUCAGAUCUACAAAGAGCAACGCAGAGGAUAGUCACGGCGGGGGAUUGGUUGAACGAGAGCUACGACGUGGAGAACGGCACUAAGAUGAGUCCACAUGAUCUACAUGUUCCUCAUGUUCCUGAUCUAUGGUAAUCAUCACCACCCCUGUUUUUGGAUUUUCAUAUAUGAUUUCGAGUGAAGGCUGCACUACCUAAUGCUAACUGUUUGAAAGGAGAUGUUCCUAGUUUAUGACAAAAGCUUUCAGCUGAAGAGGUUACCUCUGCUUGCAAGAAUUGAACUUAACCCUGUUAGUCAAAAAAGAAGAAUUCGUAUUUUAAUUUAGAUGUGGUUAUGUAGGUAGAUGAUUCUUAUUCGUAUGAGCUUGUCAAUUUCAGCGUAAGGAUUCAAGGAGAAUACAGUUUCUAUAUUCCGAUCUUCGUUCGUAAUUUUUACUUCUUCACUGAAGAUCUCACUCUAUCUACUGGGUAUCUUCAAUGACAUGUGAAUAUUUUAAGUGGAUUUGAAGGGCCGCAGUGGAAUAGGUACCUGGUACUGGAUGAACAGAAAAUCCAAAGAAUUCCUGGCACCAGAACAUUUUAAUAAACCAUCAACCCUGUCUAAUUGCUCAUACACAAUUUUGUGUUUUUCUUUUCUUUAUAUUUAAAUACCUAACCCUGCCCAGCUUCUACCAAAAUUUACGGACUGCGUACAAUUGGUCGCCCGGCAGUGUACUGUUUACAAAAUUUGAGCAGCUACCCAACAUCUAUAUCUGUAGACACUCAUGGAUGACGGACGGAUGAAGUAAAAAGGUCAGAGUGCGAGCUGGCUACCCGUUCGGCGAAAUCGGAUUUGAAGACCAUGAACAAGAACAGAUAGAGCAUCGUAACUUGCGAUGAGACAGCCAUCCGGACAAUCAUUAAAGAGGUGCUCUUCCUUGACUCCCUCCAACUCCAAGUGUCAAAAAGCUUCUGCAGAUACUACUUGGGAGUUAGCUAAAAUAUCGAGUUUCUAGCCUCAUGAGGUUUCACCCAGAUCAGUUGCGACACCUUGUCCAUGUUCAUUCUCGUGUUUCCAUGUUAAUUUAGGUUGUGUGAAUCAUGAAAAUCUGUACUGUUUACGUGACUUAGUCAUGACUAAAGUCCAGAAUUAUUGGAAUGGUGUUCAUUGGAUCGCACUCCCUUAACAGACAUGUAAUAGAACACGAUGUCAACUUUAACACGAACUGUCAUCUCCCACAGCUGAAUUGCUGUGCAUUAAUCUUGGCCCAGACUUGAAUCGAUCUGCAAACUACCUUGAACUACAUGUGGAAUCUCAUGAAAGAAGCUUAUGGAAGGGAACAUUGCAAUUGAGAACUUUAGAUGGUAAAAAUAUGUUCAAGAUGGUGGGUAAGAGCAGAACCAUUUACCGCUGUUCCUGAACUCAUAAGAUGCACAUUUUAGCAAACAUUAGGUUGAUGGAUUUAGCUAAAAUAGCAAGUUUCACGGUCUCUUAGAUACUAAAGCAAUAAACUAGAAUGUAAGAUACCCCAAACUUGCCCUAAAGAAGCUACCUCUGAUUUUUAUGAUCAGAUUCUGGAAAAAAUGAGGGGGUGUUAUUACUUAUAUCUAAUCUUGUUUUAUUUUUUUCACUGUUUUUUCACAAAUUAUAAAAUAUAAUUUCAUCGUUACUAAUUCAAUGCACACGAGUUACACGUUGCUGCAGGGUUGUAGGCAUGUUUUGAAUCUAAUUUAGUUAUGAUAAUUCAAGUUUUUACUUAUUUUUUAAAGAAACAAUUCAAUUCUUCCUCUAUUGCAUCAA